rnacentral:rRNA from 1 species
AGUGAACGCUGGCGGUAGGCCUAACACAUGCGAGUCGAACGGCAGCACAGUAAGAGCUUGCUCUUACGGGUGGCGAGUGGCGGACGGGUGAGGAAUACAUCGGAAUCUACUUUUUCGUGGGGGAUAACGUAGGGAAACUUACGCUAAUACCGCAUACGACCUACGGGUGAAAGCAGGGGAUCUUCGGACCUUGCGCGAUUGAAUGAGCCGAUGUCGGAUUAGCUAGUUGGCGGGGUAAAGGCCCACCAAGGCGACGAUCCGUAGCUGGUCUGAGAGGAUGAUCAGCCACACUGGAGGUGAGACACGGUCCAGACUCCUACGGGAGGCAGCAGUGGGGAAUAUGGGCCAAUGGGCGCAAGCCUGAUCCAGCCAUACCGCGUGGGUGAAGAAGGCCUGCGGGUUGUAAAGCCCUUUUGUUGGGAAAGAAAAGCAGCAGGUUAAUACCCCGCUGUUCUGACGGUACCCAAAGAAUAAGCACCGGCUAACUUCGUG